rnacentral:rRNA from 1 species
UACGAAGGGGGCUAGCGUUGCUCGGAAUCACUGGGCGUAAAGCGCACGUAGGCGGCUUUCUAAGUCAGGGGUGAAAUCCUGGAGCUCAACUCCAGAACUGCCCUUGAUACUGGCGAUCUCGAGUUCGGGAGAGGUGAGUGGAACUGCGAGUGUAGAGGUGAAAUUCGUAGAUAUUCGCAAGAACACCAGUGGCGAAGGCGGCUCACUGGCCCGAUACUGACGCUGAGGUGCGAAAGCGUGGGGAGCAAACAGG